rnacentral:lncRNA from 1 species
CUUUCUCCACAUGGAAGAACGGGAAAUAUGAAGCUGACAAGAGAAGCAAGGCUGGAGGAUAUGGAAAGAAAGCUUCAUGACUGACUCCUCUCACCAAAUUAAUCUUUACUUUUUUGGCAAGGGGCCUUGUCAGUAACUCAUCAAGCUCAAUGAGCUGAUAUCAGAAAGCCAGACGGGCCUGCGGAAGAAUCCUGCACAACCCAGUCUCUGUGGAGUUUUCCUCACAAUUGUCCACUGAGAAAGGCAGAGGACCCAAUUCUGGAUGUCAGCAGCUGUGACAACAGGAAACAAGGGAAGACUGAAUC